UACGGAGGGUGCGAGCGUUGUUCGGAAUCACUGGGCGUAAAGGGCGCGUAGGCGGCUUAUCAAGUCAGGCGUGAAAUUCCCGGGCUCAACCUGGGGGCUGCGUUUGAUACGGGCGGGCUUGAGUGCGGAAGAGGGUCGUGGAAUUCCCAGUGUAGAGGUGAAAUUCGUAGAUAUUGGGAAGAACACCGGUGGCGAAGGCGGCGACCUGGUCCGAUACUGACGCUGAGGCGCGAAAGCGUGGGGAGCAAACAGG
rnacentral:rRNA from 1 species